rnacentral:SRP_RNA from 1 species
GCCAGGCACAGUGGUUAUGUGCCUGUAGUCCCAGCUACUCAGGAAGCUGAGGUGGGAGGAUCACUUGAGCCCAGGAGUUCUGGAGUAUAGUGUGCUAUGCUGAUUGGAUGUCCACACUAAGUUCGGCAUCAGUAUGGUGACCUCCAGGGUCGGGAGGACCACGAGGUUACCUAAGGAAGGGUGAACCAGCCCAGGUCGGAAACGUAGCAGGUCAAAACUCCCAUGCUUAUCAGUAGUGGGAUUGCGCCUGUGAAUAGCCACUGCACUCCAGCCUGGGCAACAUAGCGAGACUCGGUCUCU